GAUGAAGAACGUAGCGAAAUGCGAUACUUGGUGUGAAUUGCAGAAUCCCGUGAACCAUCGAGUCUUUGAACGCAAGUUGCGCCCGAAGCCACUAGGCCGAGGGCACGCCUGCCUGGGCGUCACACGCCGUUGCCCCCCCAUCUACUCCUUCGGGAUUGCGGGGGGGCGGAUGAUGGCCUCCUGUGCGCCUAGCCGCGCGGUUGGCAUAAAUACCAAGUCCUCGGCGACGCACGCCACGACAAUCGGUGGUUGCGAAACCUCGGUUGCCCGUCGUGUGCGUUCGUCGCACAUCGAGGGCUCGAAAAAAUGCUCGGCUCCGGCUGGGCUUUCAACGCGACCCCAGGUCAGGCGGGGUUACCCGCUGAAUUUAAGCAUAUCAAUAAGCGGAGGA
rnacentral:misc_RNA from 1 species